GUUCUUGCUUUGGCAGUACAUGUACUAAAAGUUGGAAUGAUACAAGAGAUUAGCAUGGCCCCUUUGCAAGAAUAAUACACAAAUUCGCAAAGCAUUCUAUAUUUAA